AACUUUUAGCAAUGGAUCACUUGGUUCUGGCAUCGAUGAAGAACGCAGCGAAAUGCGAUAAGUAAUUCGAAUUGCAGAAUUCAGUGAGUCAUCGAAUCUUUGAACGCACAUUGCGCCCUUUGGUAUUCCGAAGGGCAUGCCUGUUCGAGCGUCAUUAUCAACCCUCAAGCCUGGCUUGCUGUUGGACCAUUCGUCGGUAAUCAGACGGGUCCCAAAGAUAAUGACAGAGUCGUGUUGGACCCUAGAUGCAACGAGCUUUCAAUAGCACGCAUUGAAGUGGCCCACCACUCUUGUCUCAACCCUAUUUUUACAAGGUUGACCUCGGAUCAGGUAGGAAUACCCGCUGAACUUAAGCAUAUCAAUAAGCGGAGGCU
rnacentral:misc_RNA from 1 species